UCGAGAAUCUUCCGCAAUGGGCGAAAGCCUGACGAAGCAACGCCGCGUGGAGGAUGAAGGCCUUCGGGUCGUAAACUCCUGUCGACCGGGACGAACGCUAUUGGGCCCAAUACGCCCGAUAGUCGACUGUACCGGUGGAGGAAGCCACGGCUAACUCUGUGCCAGCAGCCGCGGUAAGACAGGGGAUACAAGCGUUACUCGGAAUUACUGGGCGUAAAGCGUCUGUAGGUGCCCAACCAAGUCUGCGGUAAAAGCUCGGGGCUUAACCCCGAGAGCGUCGCGGAAACUAGUAGGGUUGAGCAGUGGAGAGGCAUCUGGAAUGUCGCAUGUAGGAGUAAAAUCCGUAGAUAUGCGAUGGAACGCCAAAAGCGAAGGCAGGAUGCUAGCCACUUGCUGACACUGAGAGACGAAAGCGUGGGGAGCGAAGGGGAUUAGAUACCCCAGUAGUCCCUGAGCGGGCUGGCAAGGCGCAU
rnacentral:rRNA from 1 species